CCUGGAGGCGGCUCAGUGGGUGAAGCGUCUGACUUUGGCUCAGGUGGUGAUCUCUCGCUCAUGAGUCGGAGCCCGGCAUCGGGGCUCCCUGCUGUCAGCGCAGAGCCUGGAGCCCGCUUCAGAUCUCCGCACCUCCCUGCUCACGCUCUCCCUCCCCCUCUCUCUCUCCCUGGGCCCUGGAGGUGCUGGGCACCUGUCCCUCCUCCUUGGCCCUGGGGGUGCUGGGCACCCACAGGUAUCGCUGCACCGGCAGAUGGCACCACCAGGGGGGGCUCUGA